GCGUGGAGGCAUGCAGCUAUGCUAACGCGAUCUUCUUCACCCCCUGUUCAUCAUUACCCGGCAUGCCUUCACACAAAACGGAACACUUCUCCCCAGGUCAGCCCCGACAGUGUUUACAUAACAGCCUGCGGAUGAACAAGCGCGGAUAAAAUGGCUCGAUGCGAUGGUCCUUUACGGGAUUUAACAGCUGCAGCGGAACAGAGGGCAGUUUUCAGAAUGUGGCGUUUGCCAUAUGUGGUUUGUAGGUGGACCAGUUGGGAAAUGGCGUGGAAAAUGGCGAUGGACAGACACUUCGUUGUUGAAUCAAGACAGUGUUCUGCGGAGCUCCUGAAGGAAGACAGCGGAUGGAGAAUCUGGCUGUGAUUGGCCAGCUCACCGACGAGUUCCUAUGGCAUUAUAAUGUUUGUUCACCUGUAAUAAUGAAGGAAUGUAUGAUUUGCACAUGAAAACGUACAUAUUAAUCAUUCAUAUUUCGUGUGUAUAUUUAAAGCGGAGAAUGUACAGGGUCAUUUCUUUCAUCUCUGGGUAAAAUGUUUGGGAAUGCCCAAGUGGAACAUAUUUAUAUCACAACAAAAGCCUUGUCUUAUGCAUGCCAGGAUUUUCUGGCAUUAUAGCAUUUCUUUGAUCUUGUUUAUCUGUGGUGAACAUUUUUAGUUAUUUACAAAGAAACAAACAAGCACGCAACAAAGAUAAAAAAAGAAUUCCAAGAUA